UAUGGCCAGUCUGGCUUGAGCUCCACCUGAAAAUUUAUUGCUUGUGAGGAAAUAAAAUGAACUGGUGGCCCUGGUGCAGGCUCUGCACGUAAAACCUGUCUGUCUCUGUGGUGGGAGCACUGGGAUCUAUGACAAUACAGAAUUGGCAGUAAAGUAUCAAUAGGAGUGAAAGCAGGUACUGUAGAAGGAAAAAGCACAGAAAAAAAUAUAUCAUAGUCUUUUCAGGAAAUGAAUAGUGAAAAGAAACAGGAACAUGAAUUAGGAACUGCUGAAAAAACAAAAGCUGUUGAACUUGUAAGAGCAACAAGACUUGUCUGCCACUGAGCUGAAGAAAUCAGAGAAGAUGAGCCAUGGGCCUGUAACAGUGUUCACUCACCAUGGCAGCACCUCCUGCUGGCCAUCCUGGGGAUUAGCUGUGCCAGUGGGUGUGCCCUCCUCCAGUGGUGCCUCUCCUGUUGUCACCUCUCCUGCCUUCCAUGUCAAUCCAGGAACUGCAGCAUCCUCUUCAUGACUCGGCCUACUGUCCAUGCCACUAUCCAUGUUUCCUCCUUCCAGAGACCAGAUAAGCAGCUGCUCCAAAACGGACAAGCUGGGCUGCUUCUCUCCUCAAGCGAACACUAGCUGUGGACAUUCAUCUCCCUGCCUGCCUCUGCUCGAGCAAACAGUAGCUGUGUUUGUUUUUUAGAUAAGCAGCUCCGGGAGCCCUGAGUUCACAACAAAACAAAGAGAGGCAUCACAACAAAACAAAGAGAGUUAUCUUUACUUAAAUGCAUUAUGGGAAAAUUCCAUAGGUCAGUUACAGCGUAGUAAGAUUAAACACUGUUUACACUGGCACUCCAGCAUUGCAGCACCAGCGCUAUUCUCUUUAUUCCCCUUGUCGAGGUGGAGUACAACCAGCGCUGUAGCCUGGGAGAUACAGUGCUGUAUGUGCCUUGCCAGUGUUAGGCCUGAAUAAAGAUAUUGCAGACAAAACCAGGUAUGCCAACCUGACCAAAGUCAGGUUGGCAGAGGUUUUUGGGUAAUUCCUGAGUGGAAAACACUGAGAAGCAGCAGCAUGUCUCACAAGCGCUGGGAAAAAGUGAGAUAAGAGAGAAGCUGCAUUCCUGGCAUAGUACCAGAUGUGCUGUGUUAGGGCAGCUCCUUCGAAGAACUGAUAAGAGCCCUAGUUUCCCAGCCUCCUUGUUUUCACUCCCUGGUUUUGUUCUUUGUUUGUUUUUAACUCCCCUACAUUUCUAACUUUAGGCAUGCAUGUAUACUAAAGGUGUCUAGUUUCUAGUUGUUAAAAGAAGGGGGUAGGUUGCUCCAGUGAAUAAUUUAUGACGCGACGGAACUGUCUAUAUAGGCUUAUACUAAGAUGUAAAGAGCGGGCUGGUUCUCUCUGGAGACGAGCUGCUCUCUAUUGAUGCGUGCACUUGUCAAUAAAGAGCUUUUGAUCGGACCUUG